rnacentral:rRNA from 1 species
GACAUGUACGGAAUCCUUUAGAGAUAGAGGAGUGCUCGAAAGAGAGCCGUAACACAGGUGCUGCAUGGCUGUCGUCAGCUCGUGUCGUGAGAUGUUGGGUUAAGUCCCGCAACGAGCGCAACCCUUGUCAUUAGUUGCUACAUUUAGUUGGGCACUCUAAUGAGACUGCCGGUGACAAGCCGGAGGAAGGUGGGGAUGACGUCAAGUCCUCAUGGCCCUUAUAGGUGGGGCUACACACGUCAUACAAUGGCUGGUACAAAGGGUUGCCAACCCGCGAGGGGGAGCUAAUCCCACAAAGCCAGUCGUAGUCCGGAUCGUAGUCUGCAACUCGACUACGUGAAGUCGGAAUCGCUAGUAAUCGUGGAUCAGAAUGUCACGGUGAAUACGUUCCCGGGUCUUGUACACACCGCCCGUCACACCAUGGGAGCGGGUUCUGCCAGAAGUAGUUAGCCUAACCGCAAGGAGGGCGAUUACCACGGCAGGGUUCGUGACUGGGGUGAAGUCGUAACAAGGUAACC